AGGUCAUGGUGUGGACAAUUUCUAAGAAUACCUUUGUACCUUUCCCAAGCUUCAUAAAGAGACUCCUCGGGUUGUUGCUCGAAGUUGGCAAUAGCUUUUUUCAACUU